rnacentral:rRNA from 1 species
UAGGGAAUAUUAGUAAUGGGCGAAAGCCUGAACUAGCAACACCGCGUGUGCGAAGAAGGCCUUCGGGUCGUAAAGCACUUUUCGGGAGGAUGAGGAAGGACGGUACUCUCGGAAUAAGUCUCGGCUAACUACGUGCCAGCAGCCGCGGUAAAACGUAGGAGGCGAACGUUAUCCGGAUUUACUGGGCGUAAAGCGCGUGUAGGUGGUUUGGUAAGUAGGGCGUGAAAGCUCCUGGCUCAACUGGGAGAGGUCGUUCUAAACUGCCGAGCUAGAGGAUGGUAGAGGGAGGUGGAAUUCCGGGUGUAGCGGUGGAAUGCGCAGAUAUCCGGAGGAACACCAGUGGCGAAAGCGGCCUCCUGGACCAUUUCUGACACUCAGACGCGAAAGCUAGGGUAGCAAACGG